rnacentral:tRNA from 1 species
GGAGGAUUGACCGAGUGGCUAAGGAGCUCGCCUGGAAAGCGAGUAGGGUGUAACAGCCGCGUGGGUUCGAGUCCCAUGUCCUCCGCCA